CACCGCGGUUAUACGAGAGACCCAAGUUGAUGACUUCCGGCGUAAAGAGUGGUUAAGAAAGCCCUGCACUAAAGCCAAAUGACUUCAAAGCUGUCAUACGCACACGAAAGUACGAAGCCCAAUCACGAAAGUAGCUUUAAGACCCUGACCCCACGAAAGCUAUGGUA
rnacentral:rRNA from 1 species